AAUUUUGCGCAAUGGGGGAAACCCUGACGCAGCAACGCCGCGUGAAUGAUGAAGCUCUUCGGAGUGUAAAGUUCUGUCAGUAGGGAAGAAUUAUGACUGUACCUACAAAGGAAGCACCGGCUAACUCCGUGCCAGCAGCCGCGGUAAUACGGGGGGUGCAAGCGUUGUCCGGAAUUAUUGGGCGUAAAGCGUUCGUAGGCGGUAUAUCAAGUCUGGUGUUAAAGACCGAGGCUCAACUUCGGAAGGGCACUGGAUACUGAUAGACUAGAAUGAGAUAGGAGUAAUGGGAAUUCCUGGUGUAGCGGUGAAAUGCGUAGAUAUCAGGAGGAACAUCAGUGGCGAAGGCGCAUUACUGGGUCUUAAUUGACGCUGAGGAACGAAAGCCAGGGGAGCAAAUGGG
rnacentral:rRNA from 1 species